rnacentral:rRNA from 1 species
GAUGAACGCUGGCGGCGUGCCUAAUACAUGCAAGUCGAGCGAACAGACGAGGAGCUUGCUCCUCUGACGUUAGCGGCGGACGGGUGAGUAACACGUGGAUAACCUACCUAUAAGACUGGGAUAACUUCGGGAAACCGGAGCUAAUACCGGAUAAUAUAUUGCACCGCAUGGUUCAAUAGUGAAAGACGGUUUUGCUGUCACUUAUAGAUGGAUCCGCGCCGCAUUAGCUAGUUGGUAAGGUAACGGCUUACCAAGGCGACGAUGCGUAGCCGACCUGAGAGGGUGAUCGGCCACCCUGGAACUGAGACACGGUCCAGACUCCUACGGGAGGGAGCAGUAGGGAAUCUUCCGCAAUGGGCGAAAGCCUGACGGAGCAACGCCGCGUGAGUGAUGAAGGUCUUCGGAUCGUAAAACUCUGUUAUUAGGGAAGAACAAAUGUGUAAGUAACUAUGCACGUCUUGACGGUACCUAAUCAGAAAGCCACGGCUAACUACGUG